UAAGCGAAUAGUGAAAUCUUGUGGCUCAACCAUAAACACAUUAUUCGAACUGCAAUACUCGAGAACGAGAGAGGUCACUGGAAUUCCCUGUGUAGGAGUGAAAUCCGUAGAUAUAGGGAGGAACACCAAUGGCGUAGGCAGGUGACUGGCUCGUUUCUGACACUGAGGCACGAAAGCGUGGGGAGCGAACGGGAUUAGAUACCCCGGUAGUCCACGCCGUAAACGAUGGAUACUA
rnacentral:rRNA from 1 species